GAUGAAGAACGUAGCGAAAUGCGAUACUUGGUGUGAAUUGCAGAAUCCCGUGAACCAUCGAGUCUUUGAACGCAAGUUGCGCCCGAAGCCAUCAGGUUGAGGGCACGUCUGCCUGGGCGUCACAUAUCGUUGCUCGAUGCCUAUCGCAUUGCGAUAGGACUUAGGGCGAAUGAUGGCUUCCCGUGAGCGUUGUUACCUCGCGGUUGGUUGAAAAUCGAGUCCUUGGUAGGGUGUGCCAUGAUAGAUGGUGGUCGAGUUAGCACGAGACUGAUCAUGUGCAUGCUCCCCAAAAUAUGGCCUCUGUGACCCACACGCGUCUUUUGACGCUCAUGACGAGACCUCAGGUCAGGCGGGGCUACCCGCUGAAUUUAAGCAUAUCAAUAAGCGGAGGA
rnacentral:misc_RNA from 1 species